GUGCUCAUUUUGGCAGCACAUAUACUAAAAUCAGAACAAUACAGAGAUUAGCAGAGCCCUUGCGUGAGGAUGACAUACAGGUCAGUGGAGCACUAGAUGAUGAU
ensembl:snRNA U6 U6 spliceosomal RNA